UGUUCUAACAUGGGGCAGUUUUUAUGUUUUUUGGAAGAAAAUUCCACAGGUUCAACGCUCGGAGUCAGAGGUGUGCGUUGCUGUAAGAAGAUUUACAUCUACUCAUUAACAUGUUACAGACUGGAACCUUAAGGACUGAAGAUGGAGUGACAUCAUUGAGGCUAUCAGUUGGAACCUUGAUUACCUUGGAUAGGUGUGUUAUGGUAAGAAGGCAGUUAGAUGUGAACUUUUAAAUGGUAAGUUGACUUACACGAAGCAUGAUAGUUAUUCAUAUUAAAAUGGAUUAGUUUUAAUCUGAAAGAUCAAUAAUUACUUAAUGUAUACCAGUACCAAUUCCCCCCGCAGAAAUAGUUCAAUUCAACUCUACUUUUAUAAUUUCCAUAAUGCAAAGUCUACACGUAUCAAAGAUAUAUUGGACAAAGAUAUGUGAAGACCUAUUAGAAUAAUAGCUUCAUGAGACACAAUAAAAAGGAGGCAAAUAUACUUCUAUCUGAAAUACUUUAUUGUCAAGUAAAUAGCAUUUGAAGAUAUCAUGUUGCAUAUUUGGAUUGCUGCAGUCAAGUAAGCCUAGUGUUAAUGUGCAUUUAGUCAUGAACAAAAUAUUAACUAUAGAAUGCAAUCACAAAAGUCUAUGUUUUUCUAGUUGUAUUUUGUUUAUGAUGUUCUAAUACGGGGCAGUCUUUAUGCUUUUUGGAAGAAAAUUCCACAGGUUCAACGCUCGGAGUCGGAGGUGUGCGUUGCUGUAAGAGGAAUGACAUCUACUCAUUAACAAGUUACAGACACUGGAACCUUGAGAAUAUUCCACAGGUUCAACGCUCAGGGUGUGUCUUGCUGUAAGAAGGAUGUACAUCUACUCAUCAACAAGCUCUCAACAGGAGCCAUGACACCACGAAGGUGUGUCACUGCGAGGGGUGACAUCUACUCAUCAAUGAGUUGUUUACGGGAACCAUGACUACAUGGAGUGUUGCUGUGUGAGGGAUGACAUCUAAAUAUCAACAAGCUUACCACGGGAACCAUGACAAGGUUGUGUUACUUUGCGACGAGGGAUGACAUCUACUCACCAACAACUUGGUUGAAGCCAAGUCCAGAUUGUCAAGAGAUUAUUCUGAUGCAGUGUUCCUCCAACAACGUGGAUAUUGAAAGCAUCAAUCAGGUGUGGCUUGGCUAGAGGAAAUAACA